UGACAGUUAGACUUACAGGUUAUGUCGUUGUCUUUUGUUUGAAUUGUUUAUGUGUCCGCUGUGCGGGGGAAAUGAUAAUACAAGCGGAACUACGUAGCUAAUACUGUUGUAACGGGGAUCCUUAUUGUAGCAACACACCUUUGGAGGGAAGGCAAUCCUGCGCUGCGUUAGCUAAGUUUUCAUGUCAUCGGGUGUAGUUCAUAAUGGUUGAAGAGUGUAUGUUAGGAUGAAGUGUGAAUUCAUGCCAGGAAUAAUAAGUGUGAAGUUUAAUUUCCUCCCUUCUGUAAUAAGCAGCCAAUGAGGUAUUUGUUCCUUUAUUCAUGUGUUAAUCUGAACCUGUUAUAACGCCGGUUAAACUGUUAUGUAUGUAAGCACUUCAGAGUUAUACCAAGCUAAUAAGUCACUCGUAAGAUAAGGUCGUAAGAGUGUGCUUAACUGUAUUUUUCAUUUACUUUAUAGUUCUCACGGAAGGUGAUAAUUCUGACUAAAACUACAGAAUAAAGCCGCCAGUUAAAAUCAAGGAACGGUUGUGCUCGUGGUUACUGAAGGGAGCUACAGUGAGAACUCAAUGCUCUUCACGAGCAAGAGAGAAAGAAGAAUCUCAUCCAGCUGUAAAACAUCUACAAGAUUCCCAAAUCCUGGUAGACCUUGUCAUCUGCCAGAUAAGAGUUUUGCACCUACCUGCAAACUAAGAAGAAAAUCUCCACAUAAGGAAGCAUCGUGAGGCAACAUAAGGUCAAGACUAACAGGAAAGUCAGACACGCAAGUACAAGUCAAGGUGUUUGAAGGUGGUCCUAGCCUUCUGAACAGCUAAUAAGAGACUUUAAGAUCACAAUUCGUAAGGACUGGAGAUAGUUGUCUAUUUCAUAAAGACUCUGGUAUUAUGCAUUUGCUCUUUCUAUCUUAAUGUAUCGCUGGUAUGUGUAUUACUGAAAAAUAUUAUUUGAUACUUACUAAAUAUAUAUAUAUAUAGUCACAAACAUUAAGGGUCAGCGUACACCUAUUAAUUAUAUUUUCACCUGUAAGUUAAUAGUGUAAUUGUUUGGUAAGGUGUUUGUUCAAGCCUUUGUUUCAAGCAUUAUACAUGUUUAUACCACGUACUGAGGUAUAAAUUACAGUGAAUUAGAGUAUAAAUUACCUACUCACUUAUCCAAACCUUAGCUAGAAUUGAUUUGACUUGAUUUAGAAUGUCAGAAAGAGGUAGUUUCACUAAAGGUGAUAGAGAUGGGGUGGGUCAAGUUGAGCAGCUGCAGCAACACCUCGCAAACUUCGAGCCUUCAUCAGAACAAACAGAGCAGCAGGAAGAGGUAGCACAACAAGAGCCACGAAAAGGUGAGAGGGUCCGCAGGUUAACUGAAAAGGGCAGAGAACUGCGCGACGAAAGGUGGAGACAGCUCGAACAACGUUUCAGGGUCAGCUAUGAGAAGUGGAAGGCUCUGGUAAAGGAAGCAAAACUGUCACUGACAGGUUGUUGCUCUGAAGACCUACUAGAAGACCUCUUAAACAAGAUUAGCCAUACCUCUACAGAGCUAAACCGUGUCUAUGUAAAUUUGCGUCAAAUCGACAUUCCCGACAACGAUAUACGACGCAGAGUUGAUACUUGUGAAGCAGUUACAAUGUCUAUUAUCAAGACUGUAAGGUGUCAUUUAAAAGGCAGGGAAGAAGGUCAAAGUAACCAGAUAGAGUUGCACUGGAAGGACAGCAAUUCCUUGUGCAUGUCCGAACUCUCACAUAAGUCAAGUCCCAACUAUCAGCCCUCAAGUGCUUCCUCCCAGUCUCAAAACAACUCAAAGGUCAACUCCAGAUGCUCAAGCGUGUCAUCUGUCAAGAGACAAGAGGCUGCGGCGGAAGUUGCUGCUAACCAAGCAGCUUUAGAAGUAAUGGUUAAGCAAGAACGCCAACUAGAAGAGCUUCAGCGACUCGAAGAUGAAGAUAAGAAGAGGACAGCGGAGCAAGAAGCUGAGGCUGUGAAACGCAGCUUAGAAGAAGCUAGGCUGCGAGUCAAGUUAGAGGUAGAAAAUGCUGCCAGACGAAGGACACUAGAAGACAAGCGUAGAGAGUUAGAGCACCUAGAAGUGCUCAAGAAACUAAAUGCUGCCAAGGCGCGAAUGCAAGUGUAUGAGCAAGAUGAAAACUCAGAGGACGAGAAGAGAGAACUACUCUCUAACUGCAAGUAUGUGAAAGAAGUCAUGCACAGAAGUGGCUCAUUUCACAGUCUCUCACCACAACAUGUUGUGACAAGCACACAGCAAGAAGAUGGCACCAAGACCAUGUUCAGGUUACUAGCGGAAGCAAUCAGUGAAAGCCGCCUCCCCAUACCAGAACCAGUAACAUUCAAUGGAGAGCCUCUCUCGUACACUGACUGGAAGGUCUCUUUUCAGACUCUGAUAGACAGGAAGAACAUACCAACAACUGAGAAGAUAUAUUACUUAAGAAAAUAUGUCGGUGGGCCUGCCAAGAAAGCCAUCGAAAGUUACUUUAUGUUAGGAACAGAAUCAGCCUACCAUGCUGCUUGGACCAUUCUUGAAGAAAGGUACGGAAACAAAUUCUUCAUCGCCAAGUCUUUCAGAGAUAAGCUCAAUGCAUGGCCUACGAUAGGAUCCAAGGACAGUCUUGAACUUAGAGACCUUGUAGACUUUCUUCGCAGCUGUGAAGCUGCUAUGUCUCAGAAUAAGGGCCUGGAGGUGCUUAAUGACUGUAAUGAAAACCAAAAGAUCCUCGCUAAACUUCCAGAUUGGCUAACUUCAAGAUGGAAUAGAAAGGUCACAGACAUCUUAGAAGAAACGGAGAUCUUUCCUAGCUUCAGUCAGUUUGUGAAGUUUCUCACAAGAGAAGCCAAGAUUGCUUGCAAUCCUGUAACAUCCCUUCAUGCUUUGAAACCAAGUGAAGAUGGGAAACUUAAGACGCCAAGGAUUCAAAACCCCGGAGCAAGGGUAUUAGCAACUAACUCUGAUGAGAAAGAUACUGUUACUAGUUGUGUCUUCUGUGAGAAGUCAGGUCACAGUCUCCACAAAUGCUGGAAGUUCAUGGAUAAGCCCACCGCAGAGCGACAGAAGUUUGUUCAAGAGAAUAAAUUGUGCUUUGGCUGUUUAAGGCCUGGCCAUCGAUCGAAAGAUUGUGAUAACAGGAACACCUGCGACACGUGUCAGAGGAGGCAUCCAUCCUGCCUGCACGAAGAUCGUACUAAAGAAAGGUUAAGGGAUAGGAAGACCUCACAAGAUAAGGGGACAAGAGCGUCAAGUGAGGCCAUAUCUAACAGAGUCGUAAGGGACAUUAACACUCACACCUCCACAAUCAUUCCAGUAUGGGUGUCAACCACAAGUGAGCCAGAUCGUGAAGUUCUUGUGUAUGCACUUCUUGACACCCAGAGCGACACCACUUUUAUCCUUGAAGAGACAACAAAGGCUCUCAAUACAAGGAAGGAGCCAGUCCAACUGAAACUCUCUACAAUGGCUUCAAGAAAUACCACUGUGCCCUGCCAGAAGCUGUCUGGUUUGCAGGUUAGAGGGUUUUACUUGGAGAAGAAAAUCCCUCUGCCAACGACCUACUCGAGAGAGUUUAUUCCUGCAAACAGAGAUCAUAUUCCUACUCCAGAGACUGCAAGAGCAUGGUCUCAUCUUGAACACAUUGCAGAGGAGAUUGCUCCUCAACAGAGCUGUGAUGUCGGUCUCUUAAUUGGCUACAACUGCUCCCAGGCUCUCCUUCCAAGAGAAAUUGUGUCUGGUAAGGGAAAUCAGCCUUUUGCUCAGAGAACAGAUCUUGGCUGGAGCAUAGUCGGCUAUGGAAAUCCAUGUAUCGACUAUGGCGACCCUAUUGGAGUGAGUCAUCGGGUUAUCGUUAGACAGGUGAUGCCAAGCCUUCAAUCUUCUUCCAACCUCACAAAUCAAGUACACUAUGUUUGUAGAACACAUGCAAGAGAGGUAAUCACAACACUGGACAUUAUCAAGACGCUUGAAUCUGACUUCAACGAGAGACCUGCAGAAGAGGACCUCAUAUCUCAAGAGGAUAUCCGGUUCCUGAAGAAAAUGAAAGAGGGCAUCAGACGUAAGGACAAUGGACAUUAUGAGAUGCCGCUGCCGUUUAAGGAAGAAAGACCCAAUCUGCCGAACAAUAAAACAUGUGCAGUUCACCGACUCAAGUGCCUGGAAAGGAGCCUAAGGAGAGACAAGCAGUACUACAAGGACUACACAGCAUUCAUGGAAGAGACUAUAGCUUGUGGAGAUGCUGAGAAGGUCUCUAAAGAGGAAAUUAACAAGCAUCCAGCAUGGUAUAUCCCGCACCAUGGAGUUUAUCACCCACAAAAGCCUGGGAAGAUACGAGUCGUCUUUGACUGCUCAGCUAAGUUUCGAGAGACGUCCUUGAAUGAUCAUCUCCUUACCGGUCCAGAGUUGACAAACACAUUGCUGGGCAUCCUUUGUCGUUUUCGUAAGGGUCCAGUUGCAAUCAUGUGUGACGUAGAGUGCAUGUUCCACCAGUUUCAUGUGAAAGCAGAAGACCAAGAUUAUCUACGGUUCCUUUGGUGGGAGAACGGAGAUCUAGAGUCUCAACCCUCAGCGUAUCGUAUGAAGGUCCACUUGUUCGGCGCAGCUUCAUCUCCUGGUUGCGCCAACUAUGGUCUCAAACAUCUUGCUGCCGAAGGACGAGGAAGCUUCAGCGAGAAGUCUAUCCAGUUCAUAGAAAGGAACUUUUAUGUUGAUGAUGGGUUGACGAGCGUAUCGUCUGAAGCUGAAGCGGCCCAGCUGGGGAAAGAAGCAAGAGAGCUUUGCAGCAUCGGCAAACUUCGGUUGCACAAGUUUAUCUCUAACAGCAAGGAAGUUAUAGCCACAAUUCCCAAGGAAGAACGUGCCAAGGGUGCCAAAGACCUGGAUAUGGCUCUGGGUGAACCACACAUGGAGAGAGCGCUUGGUGUACUGUGGUGUGUCGCAUCAGACGAGUUCCAGUUUAGAGUAGUUGUCAAGGAACGCCCACUCACAAGAAGAGGAGUGUUGUCUACAGUAGCCUCUGUAUAUGAUCCGCUUGGGUUUGUGGCACCCUUUGUCCUGGUGGGGAAGCAGAUCUUGCAGCGGAUGUGUCGUGACAGAAUCGACUGGGAUGACCCCCUUCCAGAUGACCUACGUUCCCAGUGGGAAUUCUGGCUCCAAGGUCUACAAAACUUGUCUGAAGUAAGGAUCCAACGAAGCUACUUGCCAUCAAGUUUCAAGGAGGUGCAGAGUUAUGAGCUCCAUCACUUCUCCGACGCUAGUACCUCAUGUUAUGGAGAGUGCUCAUACCUCAGAACAAUCAGCACCGCAGGAGAAGUUCAUUGCUCCCUAGUUAUGGCAAAGUCGAGAGUCGCCCCUUCCAAGGUUACGACCAUACCACGACUGGAACUUUCAGCAGCGGUGGUAGCUGUUCGAACAAGUGACAUGCUCAAAAAGGAGUUAGAGAUACAAGGUCUACAGGAAUACUUCUGGACAGAGUCGAAGGUAGUUCUUGGCUACAUCAACAAUGAAGCCAGAAGAUUCCACGUCUUUGUAGCUAACCGUAUUCAACGCAUUAAACCUCCAACACAGACAGAAAUGGAGUAAAGACUGAAGAAACGCAAGGAUUAAUGACAUUGUCAUUUUGCAAGAUGAUACUGCACCACGCAACCAGUGGAAAUUGGCAAAGGUUACAGAAGUGUACCCGGGACAGGAUGGCCGGGUGAGAAGAUUCAAGUUACUGAUCAGCGACUCAACCGAAGAUGAGAGAGGUAAACGCAUCACCAAACCCACCUGUCUGGAGAGGCCCAUCCAUAAGACAGUCACCCUCCUGGAAGCCGAUCAAGAAACCUGCAGACCCCUUUCACAGAAAUCACUGGUGAUUGGUGGGAGUGUAACUGACAGUUAGACUUACAGGUUAUGUCGUUGUCUUUUGUUUGAAUUGUUUAUGUGUCCGCUGUGCGGGGAAAUGAUAAUACAAGCGGAACUACGUAGCUAAUACUGUUGUAACGGGGAUCCUUAUUGUAGCAACACACCUUUGGAGGGAAGGCAAUCCUGCGCUGCGUUAGCUAAGUUUUCAUGUCAUCGGGUGUAGUUCAUAAUGGUUGAAGAGUGUAUGUUAGGAUGAAGUGUGAAUUCAUGCCAGGAAUAAUAAGUGUGAAGUUUAAUUUCCUCCCUUCUGUAAUAAGCAGCCAAUGAGUUCUCACGGAAGGUGAUAAUUCUGACUAAAACUACAGAAUAAAGCCGCCAGUUAAAAUCAA